rnacentral:tRNA from 1 species
UGGGGUUUAGCUCAGUGGUAGAGUGCUUGCUUAGCAUGUGUGAGGCACUGGGUUCGAUUCUCAGCACCACAU